rnacentral:rRNA from 1 species
AGUUGGUAGGGUAAUGGCCUACCAAGGCGACGACGGGUAGGGGACCUGAGAGGGUGAUCCCCCACAAUGGAACUGAAACACGGUCCAUACAUCUACGGAUGGCAGCAGUAGGGAAUAUUGCACAAUGGGCGAAAGCCUGAUGCAGCAACGCCGCGUGUGCGAUGAAGGCCUUCGGGUCGUAAAGCACUUUUCUGAGGGAAGAGGAAGGACGGUACCUCAGGAUAAGUCUCGGCUAACUACGUGCCAGCAGCCGCGGUAACACGUAGGAGGCAAGCGUUAUCCGGAUUUACUGGGCGUAAAGCGCGUGCAGGCGGUUUGGUAAGUUGGAUGUGAAGGCUCCUGGCUUAACUGGGAGAGGUCGUUCAAUACUGCCAAACUAGAGGACGGUAGAGGAAGGUAGAAUUCCUGGUGUAGUGGUGAAAUGCGUAGAUAUCAGGAGGAAUACCAGUGGCGAAGGCGGCCUUCUGGGCCGUUCCUGACGCUAAGACGCGAAAGCAUGGGUAGCGAACGGGAUUAGAAACCCCGGUAGUCCAUGCCGUAAACGAUGCAAACUAGGUGUUGGUGGUGUAAAAGCCAUCAGUGUCGCAGCUAACGCGAUAAGUUUGCCGCCUGGGGACUACGGCCGCAAGGUUAAAACUCAAAGGAAUUGACGGGUUCCCGCACAAGCAGCGGAGCGUGUGGUUUAAUUCGAUCUACGCGAAGAACCUUACCUGGGCUUGACAUAUGGGUGGUAGGGAGCCGAAAGGUGACCGACCCUUCGGGGAGCCUAUACAGGUGCUGCAUGGCUGUCGUCAGCUCGUGUCGUGAGAUGUCCGGUUAAGUCCGGUAACGAGCGCAACCCUUGCCGUAUGUUAUAUGUCAUACGGGACUGCCGAUAUAAAAUCGGGGGAAGGAGGGGAUGACGUCAAGUCAGCAUGGCCUUUAUGUCCAGGGCUACACACACGCUACAAUGGCCAGUACAAUGGGGCAAAGCCGCGAGGCGGAGCCAAUCCUCAAAGCUGGUCUCAGUUCGGAUUGCAGGCUGCAACUCGCCUGCAUGAAGCCGGAGUUGCUAGUAAACGCGCGUCAGCAACAGUGCGUUGAAUACGUUCCCGGGAAUUGUACACACCGCCCGUCACGUCAUGGAAGCUGGAAAUACUUAAAGUCAGUAUCCCAACCCUAACGGGAGGGAGCUGCCAAAGGUAGGGCUGGUAACUGGGACGAAGUCGUAACAAGGUAGGUGUAGCGAAGCUGCGCCUGG